rnacentral:rRNA from 1 species
UACGGAGGGUGCAAGCGUUAUCCGGAUUCACUGGGUUUAAAGGGUGCGUAGGCGGGCAAGUAAGUCAGUGGUGAAAUCUCCGGGCUUAUCCCGGAAACUGCCAUUGAUACUAUUUGUCUUGAAUACUGUGGAGGUCAGCGGAAUAUGUCAUGUAGCGGUGAAAUGCUUAGAUAUGACAUAGAACACCAAUUGCGAAGGCAGCUGGCUACACAAAUAUUGACACUGAGGCACGAAAGCGUGGGGAUCAAACAGG